UGACCAGAAGCUGAAUUAUAAGCAUCUAGCUGUUAAUUAGAAGGUUGUAGAAGUAAAAUACUACCUGGUCAG
rnacentral:tRNA from 1 species